ACUCUGUCAUCCCAAGUUUUCCUUGCCCAUGGAAAACUGAACAGAAAACUGUUCACAAUUGCAAGAAAUACUAAAUUUCAUCUCCGGGUCAGUGAAGAUAAAGAAAAUGGAGAAAUGUGGGCUUAAAGAGGAAGGCAGUUACACGGACAUAGAUCCAGGGUCAUGUAAGGAUUCCAUCACUAGAAGCCAGAAUUCUAACUAGUACAGACCCAGAAUUGUAUUACGGUAUCUAAUAGAUCUGACUUAAGUGCCUCUGUGCUAUGUUAUUUGGCACAUGAAAAUGCAUGACCACGUUAUCUUCAUUGUGAAUAUUUUACGCCACUUGAAUCCAGCUUUACUAUUGUUAACGCAAAAUAUCUGAGACAAGUCUCAGCCAGUUUAGGAAGUUUAUGUUGCCAAAGUUAAGGAUAUGCCUGUGACACAGUCCGAUUGUCCUAAACAGUUCCCAGCCUGACUUUUCCCUUUAGCUUAGUGAUUUUGGGGUCCCAAAAUUUAUUUUCCCUUCACACUAUUAAUACCAUCUCCAUCUCCACUAUUUUUCCCCCUCCCAUUCUCCUCCUCCUCCUCCUUUUCUUGCUCCUCUGCCUUUUUCUUCUUGUUCCGUGCCCAUUCUGGUUUUUUUUUCAACUUUCCUGCACUUUUUUGUUUCAAUGUGCUUCCCAGCACUUAGUUGGGCUCUGAUUUUAAUCAACUGCAAGACACUAUCUGUCUUGCAGUAUUAUAGUAUUUGUUUAUUUCCACUAUUCUAAUUUUGAUUUAACUUGAGACAUCUUGUUUUAUGCUUUCUCUUUUAACACUUACUUUGUUUUCUCAUGUUUUGGAAGAGGUAUUUAUUGAUUCAACAAUAUUUACUCAAGAAUAAAUGUCAUAUAUUGUGACA
rnacentral:lncRNA from 1 species